UGUGCUCGCGCAUCGAACUACUUACCACCUGUCCUUCUCAAUUGCUUCACGGGUGAUGUUUCGCUCGAUGAUAGUAUCAAGGGUCUGUGUUGCGUGCCUAAAUAAAAGGUAUUGUUGCGUUAGGUUUCUACCAUUGUUCUUGGCAACUCCUCUGUGGGGAAAGUCUUGAACACAAAAAUUGGCGCUUGUUUUCCUUUUGACUUGGCAUUCGUUGCCUUGUUUGCAUUGGUGAAUAAGCUGUCGGUUGAAAUCUUGGAUGCGGAAAAGUUAAUGACGGUGACUCGAAGUAAUUCAGUCCCGCCAAAGCACAUCUGUCCCUCGGGCUAAAGAUGACGGUCAAGACCUCGUCCUUUCUCUCUUUCCUUUGUGUUUGCGGGAAUGCGGCGAGGAAUUGUUGUGAUCGAUGAAUGCUACC
rnacentral:misc_RNA from 1 species